UGUAAGAGCAAUCUGUGUUCUUAACCACUGAGCCAUCUCUCCAGAUCUCUUUCAUAAUUUACCUGGAACUUUCUAUAAGAAAAGUUGUAUCAGAGGCCGGGUGUGGUGGUUCACACCUGUUGUUCUAACACUCAGGAGGAUCUCUGAGGUCUAGGCCAGCCAGUGAACCUAGACUUCUGUUUCAGAACUCCCAGGUCAAAGCUGCUGUGGGCAACAGGCAUCUUGUAGCUCUCUGCAGGAGCCAGUUGUAUACCCUGGUUAGGAGCACCCAAAAGUGCUAACUCAGCACAGCUCUAGGGACAGGUCUAUAAUAGUGUAGCAAGGACCCUAAAGAAUUAAAAUUUCCCAGGAAUUCCUAUGCUGACAGAAAGCCUUUAACUCUGGCUCCAGCGGAGGAACUAAAGAGACUCCUGUCUCCCGGGAGAUUAUGAAGUAUUAUUGUCUCACAACUGGUCUGUUGGCUUUUACUCCUUUUCCAUAAAUUGUAACAUUUCUGUUUGUCCAUUCCUCUUACUAAUUCCUGCCUCUCCCCACCCCCUGUUUCUGGUAAAGCAGCUAGCAGCAGACCCCAGAUUCUUGUUAUAGGUCCAGACACAGCAGUCACUCAUCCCACAGUGGAACCAGGACCUGUGGUGGGCCAGUGGUUCUGUCGGUCCCAGACCUACCUUACUUCAGCUAUAUCAGUUCUCUGUUAGGUGCAGGCCAUGGAAAGGAAGCAGCCAGUCGACUGGAGUGAAGAUGACUGUAGCUUGUGCCUAGUUGACAUAAGCCUUGCCAGAAGAUUGCAUUGUAAAUCACCCACCCGUGUCUAUGAGGAAGAGACUGCUGGUGGAUUCCUGAGUCAACCAAGGAGAGAAAUACCAGCUGCACAUGGGGAGAUGUGAGAUUUUUAAAAUUAUUAUACACUGCAAAAUGCCAGAAGCAGGGAAUGUAUAAAACUUGAUGAACAUGUCUGUAAAACUUUUUUUUAAAGGAUGAACAUGUCUCCACAUACUUUGGGAAGGUGUUUGUGCCUGGUUCUGAAGAGGGCACUGUUGGCUUGGCUUGGAGUGGAGAGGACGUCCUUGCCACUGAGUGCUCAUUUGUACCUUUUGAAUUUGAAGUCA